UGGUGGAGUGAUUUGUCUGGUUAAUUCCGUUAACGAACGAGACCUCGACCUGCUAAAUAGUUUGGUUAACUCUUCUGGGUUGGCUCAACACUUCUUAGAGGGACUAUCGGUGUGUAGCCGAUGGAAGUUCGAGGCAAUAACA
rnacentral:rRNA from 1 species